UACGUAGGGACCAAGCGUUGUUCGGAUUUACUGGGCGUAAAGGGCGCGUAGGCGGCUUGACAAGUCACUUGUGAAAUCUCCGGGCUUAACUCGGAACGGCCAAGUGAAACUGUCAUGCUAGAGUGCAGAAGGGGCAAUCGGAAUUCUUGGUGUAGCGGUGAAAUGCGUAGAUAUCAAGAGGAACACCUGAGGUGAAGACGGGUUGCUGGGCUGACACUGACGCUGAGGCGCGAAGGCGUGGGGAGCGAACGGG
rnacentral:rRNA from 1 species